CGAUGCAACGCGAAGAACCUUACCUGGUCUUGACAUCCACAGAACUUUCCAGAGAUGGAUUGGUGCCUUCGGGAACUGUGAGACAGGUGCUGCAUGGCUGUCGUCAGCUCGUGUUGUGAAAUGUUGGGUUAAGUCCCGCAACGAGCGCAACCCUUAUCCUUUGUUGCCAGCGGUCCGGCCGGGAACUCAAAGGAGACUGCCAGUGAUAAACUGGAGGAAGGUGGGGAUGACGUCAAGUCAUCAUGGCCCUUACGACCAGGGCUACACACGUGCUACAAUGGCGCAUACAAAGAGAAGCGACCUCGCGAGAGCAAGCGGACCUCAUAAAGUGCGUCGUAGUCCGGAUUGGAGUCUGCAACUCGACUCCAUGAAGUCGGAAUCGCUAGUAAUCGUGGAUCAGAAUGCCACGGUGAAUACGUUCCCGGGCCUUGUACACACCGCCCGUCACACCAUGGGAGUGGGUUGCAAAAGAAGUAGGUAGCUUAACCUUCGGGAGGGCGCUUACCACUUUGUGAUUCAUGACUGGGGUGAAGUCGUAACAAGGUAACCGUAGGGGAACCUGC
rnacentral:rRNA from 1 species